GCUCUUGUCUAGACAUUCCAUACUGGCACUUGCCAUCCCUAUAUCUUAUACUCGCGCCCCCGCCUCUGCCCACGAGGCGACAGAUACUACCAUCUGCUAUUCUGGAAACAGCAGAGUGUUGACCUGCGGUGCAGCACACGUGCUGGAAGCCCACUUCAAACAUCCUCCAAUAACUUCCAGAGCGAUCACAGAUGGCGGAGAGUCACCCAUGGAGUGGCAGACCCUCUAGUUCCCCACGAAGGUCAUCUACAUUUGCCAACUAUGCCUGGAAGCAUACAAUCAAGCCAAACAGGAUUUUGAUACGCAAUGCCCGGCCACUGGUCAUCAAUUUUGCCACUGAUAGGCUUCCUAUCAUCAAGCCAGUGGAUCAGAUCAUACUGGAAGACGCGGGCACCGUGGGGUCCGCCCUUAAUCUACCCAGCGAGUCUAUCUGCACUAGACCAGGCCUGCUCCUGUUUGGACACUACAAUAACGAUGUGCCAGUCACCCCCCUGGUGGACUUUAAGCCCGAUGAGCCCCUCCAGGUUGUCCUCACAGCCCACAAGACCAUAGUGGUGCCACCAGGAGAAUUUGUCAUGAUCAUCGUGUGUGUAAAUUUUGAAAAAAUAAAAUCCCUGGACCUCAUCAUCCAUGAAAUGUCAACCAGCAACAUCCCCCUACCACCCACCUGUGGGCAGACCUUCAAAAACUUCAAUACAGCCACCCCCUCUCUGGAAAUCUAUGGAGAUGUCAUAGAGUGUAAUGACGACCAGAAGACCUGCGUCUUCACAGCCGUCUUUCCCGGGCUCCACAGGCGCUGCAGCCUCCACGGUCCCCUAAAUUUUAUGGGAUUUGUCAACAGUGUGAAUAUAACUGGAACUAUCCUCAGGGUGUACUAUUCUGGUGUCAGUGAAGCUGCCCCAGACAGCAUACUUGUCAAAUUCAAAACCUCCUCUGCCGUGGCCUUCAGUAAGAACCCGUGCCAAGGACAUGUUCCCAGUCAUGAUGAUACUUUGAUUCCCCUGGUGUAUACCGGACCCACCCUCCGUCUCCUCCCGCUGGAAACCAUCAGUAUUCCCUUCAAUACCUCUUUUGUGGCCCAGAACCCUGACCUGAAAGCCAUCAUCUAUGACAACAACUUAAAAGACAUCAGGAUCUCUGCAACCAUGUGGACAGGAGAACAGACACCCAUCUUGGCCCACAAUUUAACCGCCGCAGUUAAACUUAUCCACAGUGGGACCGUGUUUGCCAGGGCAGCCUUUUUCUCCACUAAAGAGAACAAGAAGGCCUGCACACUUAAACUCUGCCCCUCAACCAUCCUUCUUCCAGGUGGUGAGCUGAGUCUAGAUACCUCUACCCUCCCCAACUGUUUCAAAUGAUUCUUGUGAGUGCUGACAGGCUUAAUAAAGAAAAUGAUUAAAUGAAA
rnacentral:tmRNA from 1 species